UACGUAGGGUGCGAGCGUUGUCCGGAAUUAUUGGGCGUAAAGGGCUCGUAGGCGGUCUGUCACGUCGGGCGUGAAAACUCGGGGCUUAACCCCGAGCCUGCUUCCGAUACGGGCAGACUAGAGGUAUGCAGGGGAGAAUGGAAUUCCUGGUGUAGCGGUGAAAUGCGCAGAUAUCAGGAGGAACACCGGUGGCGAAGGCAGCUCGCUGGGACGUUACUGACGCUGAGACGCGAAAGCGUGGGGAGCAAACAGG
rnacentral:rRNA from 1 species